UAUGUGCACUUACCACAGAUGUGUCGGGACU
rnacentral:piRNA from 1 species